UAUGUUUUAUAUUUUGCGUAAUAAAGAAGUACAAGUUAUUUGGAAACUGUAGGAUCUUGUUUAUGGUGAAAGUAAGAGCGCUUAAAGUUGAUUCUUGCAGUUAAAAGUUCUAGAAACAUAUACUACAAAUAUUGUAAAGCGUGAAGAAAUUGUAAUCUUCAUUAUAAAAAGUUUUUUUUCCAUUUUUUUAUCUGUAAUAACUUUAUUUUAUUUCGGUCACAUGACUAAUCAUUUUCUUACCUCCGUUAAAAUAAGUAUCUUUUGUUUAUAAGAAUUAUUUGCUGGAAGUUGUGAAUGUUUGGUUAUUUAAUGGGAAUUGCCAAAAUCAGUAUAUAUUUAAAUUUUACGACUGGAAAGAAAUGUAUUUGAUCAGUAAAAUUUUGGGAAGAUAUCCGACGAAUUCUAAUAGUAGUUGGAGACACCAAAGCAAAAUAUUGGCGUUAGUAAUCACUUUGAUGAACAUAAAGCAUUCCCUGAUAAAGAUGUCAAAAAAAUGUUCUGUAAAUUACACAUCCUCAGGUCUGCAAAAUAGGCUUUUUGUGAAUGCACUCUAAGUAAAUUCAAGAAAUAGAUAUAUAAACAAUGAAUUAAAAAAAAGUGGAAGGUACACUCUAAGGGGUUGCUACCGUCUGAAAUCGUAACCAUGGUAACCGAUAUAAGCAAUUUUUUGACGCCCCAUAGUAUAAUACUGUCAAAUGACGCAAUUUUUUUUGAAAUAGCUAUUCCUAAAAUUCCUAGAAAAAAAAAAUUAAAGGUGGUUUUCACCUCACCGCGACAUCAAGCUAACUGCAUUUGUUUUGUUAUGGUGUAGUUUCAAAGCAAUUUACAAUACCUCUUCAAAGAAUGUCGUAUGUAUACUUUACAUUAAAAAUUCUUUUCAUAAUCCAACUUAAGGUUGAGUUAUUAAAAACAUCUUCAAAUAAAAGCACGAUGGCCAGCCAUAUUAAAUAAUCUGUUGAAAAGUUUCGAUCGAGAAAAACAGAAUUGUUGAAAGUUAAAUCAACAAAAUGAAUAUUGCAUCGAUACAGUGCCUGUUGGUCGCAAUUACUUUCUGUGUUACAUCGCCUACCACAGCAUACGAUCAGACCUUGAUUAAAUCGUUUUGCAUCACCAGCUUUGAUUGCUCUGUUGGAGAAUUUUGCUACCGGUAUCAAUGUAAAGGAGGAUUUGGGAAGAGGACAGUAGAGACGAGAUGUCAAAAGUAUGCAGAUUCUUGUGACUCAUCAGCGGACUGCUGUGGAAGCAAUUUUUGCUUAAGAAACAGAUGUGUAUAACAACCUAAACAGUGUAUUUUAUUAUUUUUAAGAAUACAUUCAUAUUGGCAGCA